CAGCACUAGCCCCAAGACAGCAGAACAAGGCACGGCAAAGGAAGAAGGGGAAUCUGAAGAUCGUAAUAAAGAAUUGGACUUGCUUGAGUGGAAUCCAAGAGACAAGAAGCAUGGACAUUCUUGCCUACCCUUUUAUAACCUCUGUAGCAAUAACUCAGACUGUUUAACAUACCCAGCAAAUUCUUAUAGCGAUUACAUUCCUUGUCCUUAGCAAGAUUUGCAGUCAUGGUGCAUGCCACACAUAAUGUGUCAUGAGCAUCCUAGAUAGUGAGUGGGGAAGAGUAUGG